rnacentral:lncRNA from 10 species
UAGGGUAACCCAGAGAACACAGCCGAAGUGGAAUGUGGGGACGUCUGCGACACCGGGGACAGAGCAACUGUGGAUGAAGAGGGCUACAUCUGGUUCCUGGGGAGGAGUCAUGACACUAUCAAUGCCUCUGGGUGGUGAAGGCAUUGAUUGUCCUGACCCCACAGUUUCUGUCCCAUGACAAGGACCAGCUGACUAAGGAGCUGCAGCAGCAUGUAAAGUCAGUGACAGCCCCAUGAAACCUCCUCGACACUCCGAAGUCCAGAUCGCAGGCCCCACCUGGAAUGCUCUCCUUGCAGCCUGUUCGAAGACUCAUGAGACCGUGCUGCACACUGGACUUCAACCAUGAGCUUCACCGUCUGUCUCUUCCUUCACUACCUUCGCUCUG